AUGGCAGUGCAGCAGUGUACGGUGGCGCUCUUGGUGGCUGUCGCCCUCGUGGCGGGGCCAGCCGUCUUGUAUGCUGCCGAAGCUGGCUACGCCCCAGCCGGGCCACAGCCCAAGGCCACGACUGAGGAGCAGAAGCUAGCUGAGAAGGCCAACAACGCCUUCAAGGCAGCCGUGGCGGCCGCAGCCGCAGCACCUCCAAUGGACAAGGGCAAGAUAUUCGUGAACACCUUCAAAGCCCAGGGUGCUACCCCGGAGGCCAAGUAUGAAUCCUUCGUGGCCAUGUUCGACAAGUCGCUCUGCAUCAUCGUCGACAUCUUGAAGGCCAUCGACCAGAUCGACGCUGCCUUCAGCACUGCAGCCACCACUGCCGACGCUGCCCCGAUAAAGGACAGGUCCACCGUCUUCGACUCUGCCUUCAGCAAGGCCAUCAAGGAGACCACUGGUGAUGCAUACGAGGCCUACAAGUUUGUCCCUGCCCUCGAGUCCGCCGUCAAGAAGAGCUACGCCACGUUUCUUCCCAGGAAUCCCCAGGACAAGCGCACGCUCAUUGAGUCAUUCCUGAGCGACACCAUCAUCUCCAUGGUUGUCCCCGCCCCCGCCACUCCCACCGCCGCCGCCGCUGCCGGUGGCUACAAUGUCUGA
rnacentral:rRNA from 1 species